CUUCACUCCUCUCCACCCACUGUCUUUUCUCCUUCCCUACUCUCCAUCCAACCUCCUCCUUUCCCCCCACCCUGUCCUCCUCCUUCUCUCCUUUAAUAACGUUUUGGGCAGUGAUUAAUUUGUUUCAUUUCUUUAUCAUUCAUCUGCAUUUAUACAUAUCAUUAAUCUGCAUUUAUACAUAAAAACCUAUUAACUAUUGGGAAGCUAAGCAUAAGAAUCAAUAUGAAACAUGAAAAAGUUUCUAAAAAUUGCCAAUAAAUGUAUAUUGUGAUGUGAAAUUAUUUUUCAGAUGGAAGUUAUAAAGGGCUCUGGGGUGUUUUGCCAGGCAGAAGCGUGGAAAGCAGCCCGCCUUGCCCCCUCUGCUACUGCCAUGGUGCGGAAUCUCCUGCUGGGCACCUUUGAUUUGGAGACUUUGCUGAAAAGCAACCUGAAUGGUGGGAAGCCAACCAGAGGGGAUGGGGAGCAGCUGGUCGCACUUGACCAAAUUAAAAAGGCAGCCAUUAUUGAUGCUACAUUGAAGAAGUGGCCGGCAGCCAGCCGAGGGCAGAUAGGCACAUCUAUCAAUUCAAAGCUCACGGAGCUGAGAAGAUCAACAAGAUAAAUAGUUUUUUUUUUCUAUUCAGUUUUUUGUCUUGUU
rnacentral:lncRNA from 1 species